rnacentral:rRNA from 1 species
GACGAACGCUGGCGGCGUGCUUAACACAUGCAAGUCGAACGGAAAGGCCCUGCUUUUGUGGGGUGCUCGAGUGGCGAACGGGUGAGUAACACGUGAGUAACCUGCCCUUGACUUUGGGAUAACUUCAGGAAACUGGGGCUAAUACCGGAUAGGAGCUCCUGCUGCAUGGUGGGGGUUGAAAGUUUCGGCGGUUGGGGAUGGACUCGCGGCUUAUCAGCUUGUUGGUGGGGUAGUGGCUUACCAAGGCUUUGACGGGUAGCCGGCCUGAGAGGGUGACCGGCCACAUUGGGACUGAGAUACGGCCCAGACUCCUACGGGAGGCAGCAGUGGGGAAUAUUGCACAAUGGGCGGACGCCUGAUGCAGCAACGCCGCGUGCGGGAUGACGGCCUUCGGGUUGUAAACCGCUUUCGCCUGUGACGAAGCGUGAGUGACGGUAAUGUGUAAAGAAGCACCGGCUAACUACGUG